rnacentral:rRNA from 1 species
UAGCAAUACGAUGGAGAGUUUAGUGGCGAACGGGUGCUUAACACGUGGGCAACCUGCCAGGAAGUGGGGGAUAGCUCGCCGAAAGGCGAAUUAAUACCGCAUGUGAUUAGAGAGGACAUCCUUUCGAAAUUAAAGUCGGGGCAACCUGACGCUUCUUGUGGGGCCCGCGGCCUAUCAGCUAGUUGGUGAGGUAACGGCCCACCAAGGCUUUGACGGGUAGCUGGUCUGAGAGGACGACCAGCCACACUGGGACUGAGACACGGCCCAGACACCUACGGGUGGCAGCAGUCGAGAAUUUUUGACAAUGGGGGAAACCCUGAUCGAGCGACGCCGCGUGGAGGAUGAAGGUCUUCGGAUUGUAAACUCCUGUCAUUGGGGAACAAUGCACAGAUAUUAACUGUAUUUGUGUUGAUAGUACCCGAAGAGGAAGAGACGGCUAACUCUGUGCCAGCAGCCGCGGUAAUACAGAGGUCUCAAGCGUUGUUCGGAUUCAUUGGGCGUAAAGGGUGCGUAGGCGGCGCGGUAAGUCGGGUGUGAAAUCUUGGAGCUUAACUCCGAAACUGCAUUCGAUACUGCCGUGCUUGAGGACUGGAGAGGAGACUGGAAUUCACGGUGUAGCA